rnacentral:rRNA from 1 species
GAUCCUGGCUCAGGAUGAACGCUGACAGAAUGCUUAACACAUGCAAGUCUUUGGCGAAGUUGUGCUUGCACAGCCUAGCCAAGGCGGACGGGUGAGUAACGCGUAAGGAACUUGCCCUGCAGUCAGGGAUAACAGACGGAAACGACUGAUAAGACCUGGUAAAGUCAGGCGGACUCAUGUCCAGCCUGAUGAAAAGAGAUGCUGCAGGAGAGCCUUGCGU